AUCCUUUAGUUCCUAAGUGUGAUGAUGGAGUGGGGUAUUCACACCAUUGUUUGAGAUGUUUGAUCCUUGAACCUUGUUAUGUCAGCACAUUAUCCUUCUGAUG
rfam:Fukomys damarensis contig106084, whole genome shotgun sequence.